rnacentral:tRNA from 1 species
GGAGGGUUGGCCGAGUGGUCUAAGGCGGCAGACUUAAGAUCUGCUGGACAUUCCAGUCCGCGCGAGUUCGAACCUCGCAUCCUUCA